AGACAAAAUUCUGAAGAUAUUGGAAAAUCUUCAGGAAAAAUUUGAUAAGGGUGACCAGGAUAAAGCCAAGUCCCAUGAAGGUAUUUUACUUUGCACUAAGUCAGUUUCAUGUGUUUAUUUUCCAUUUGUUUUCAACUC